GAUGAAGAACGCAGCGAAAUGCGAUAAGUAAUGUGAAUUGCAGAAUUCAGUGAAUCAUCGAAUCUUUGAACGCACAUUGCGCCCCCUGGUAUUCCGGGGGGCAUGCCUGUCCGAGCGUCAUUACAACCCUCAAGCUCAGCUUGGUGUUGGGCCCCGCCGCCCCGGCGGGCCCUAAAGUCAGUGGCGGUGCCGUCCGGCUCCGAGCGUAGUAAUUCUUCUCGCUCUGGAGGUCCGGUCGUGUGCUCGCCAGCAACCCCCAAUUUUUUUCAGGUUGACCUCGGAUCAGGUAGGGAUAUCCGCUGAACUUAAGCAUAUCAAUAAGCGGAGGA
rnacentral:misc_RNA from 1 species